rnacentral:piRNA from 1 species
UGAGUGAUGGUCCAUUCUGCAGCUUU